AAUAUUAAGAGUUCGAUCCUAGCUCCGAAUGAAUGCUAGUAGUAUGCUUUAACACAUGCAAGUUUUAUAUUUUAUAUAAUUUUAUUUUUUAUAAAAUAAAAUAUAUAAAAUAUAGCGUAAAGGUGAGUAUUUAUAAUUAUGAUUACCUAAAAUUAUUUGUAAGAAUUUAUUAUUCAAUCAAAUAUAAACCAUAAAGAUAGUAUCGAUUUUAGAUAUAUAAUUAUAUAAGAUUAGGUAGUUGGUAAGAACAAGCCUACCAAGCCAUAGAUCUUUAGUUGAUUUGUGAGAAUGAUCAACCACAUCGGAAUUUAAAUAAAGUCCGAACUCAUUUAUGAGGCAGCAGUGGGGAAUAUUGGACAAUGAACGAAAGUUUGAUCCAGCAAUACUACAUAGGUGAUGAAGGCUUUAUCGCUGUAAAACUUAUAAUCUAAUAAAAUAAUGAUUAUUAGAGGAAAAGUUCUGACAAACUCUGUGCCAGCAGUCGCGGUAAUACAGAGGGAACAAGCAUUAUUCGUCUUUACUGGGCGUAAAGAGUCUUAAGAUGAUUUUUUCAAUUAAAAAUUAAAAAUUAAAGCUUAACUUUAAUAUUUUUUUAAUAUUAAAAAAUUUGAGUAUGAAAGAGGAUUACAGAAUUUCUAAUGUAGGGGUAAAAUCCAUUGAUAUUAGGAAGAAUGCCAAUAAGUGAAAACAGUAAUCUACUAAAUACUGACAUUGAUAGACGAAAGCAUGGGUAGCAAACAGGAUUUGGUACCCUGGUAGUCCAUGCUAUAAACAAUGAAUAUUAAAUGUUUAAAUAAAUAGAAAUAUCACAUUUAACAUAAAAAGUUAACACGUUAAAUAUUUCGCCUGGGGAGUAAAACCGCAAGGUUGAAACUCAAAGGAAUUGACGGGAGCUUAUACUUACGGUGGAGCAUGUGGUUUAAUCCGAUAGUCCGCGUGGAAUCUUACCAAUUUUUGACAGUCCUAAGUUAUACAUAGGAAACAGGUGUUGCAUGGCCGUCGUCAGCUUAUGUUUUGAAAUUUAAGAUAUAAGUACAACCCUUACUUUAAUUUACUAAUAUUCAAAAAAAUUAAAAAUAUUUAAUUAUAUUGAAUAAGUACUAUUAAAUUUGAAAUAUGUAAAUAUUUUAAAGGAUGAAGAUAGGUCGUUAUGACCCUUAUAAAUUGGGCUACACAUGUGCUACAAUAUUUUCUACAAAAAGAUGCAAUUAUGAAAAUAGGAGCUAAUCUUGAAAAGAAAAUGUAAUAUGAAUUAUAGAUUGAAACUUAUCUAUAUGAAAUUGGAAUCGUUAGUAAUCGUAAAUUAGUAUGUUACGGUGAAUAUAGUACUUGAGCUCUGUACACACCGCCCGUCACAUUAAAGAAGUAAGUUUUGAUUAAAAUCUCAUUUAGUUUAUUAUAAUUAUGUAUGAUGCAAAGUUUAUACAUAGGCUUAUCUUAUGCUAGAUGUUAUUAAAUUUAGAUUUAUGAUUUUAAUGAAGUCGUAACAAGGUAACCGUAUGGGAACAUGCGGUUGGAAU
rnacentral:rRNA from 1 species